GACCGCCGUGGCUGCUAGCCGACAUCCUCUCUGCCGCUGCAGUCGUAAGCGCCGCCCAAGCCUCCUCCGCGCAACAGCUGCACCCUUGGACCCAUCCCCUGCAUCGCCCCUUGCUGUCCAGCCCUGUUGCCACCCCUGCCACACCCUGCUCCUCCCCUGCCGAUGCAAGUUUUUGUCACGGGCGAGCUUAUCUUCGGACGCCACGAACCGACUCCCUCCAACCUAUAAAAGCCCCUCCCGAGCUCACCUAGUCACCCACGCCAUCCUCGGAAUCCCCCCUACCGAAGAAAUCGGGCCCGUGUGCCCAAUUUCAUCGCCGUCGGUGGCCACUGCCAUGAGGAGCUCUGGUCAAAUCCGCCGCAGCUAGUUCCUCCCGACGCCAAGCUUCUCCUCGUUUAGCCCCCUGGUGGCGAGAGGGAUCUUUUCCCCAUAGCCAUGAGUACCGGAGACUUCGGGCUACAGGGACCUCUAGAAGGCCGACGCCGCCAUCCGUCGGAGCCCGCGUCACCGGCGAUUCCCUCCAUACCCGUGCGUGUGGAGUUCCGGGAGAAUCGCCAGGACCCCCUGAAUCCAUUCCCGUGCCUCUGCGUGCAAGAUCUAUAGCCAGUUGCCGGCGAGGAUCCUUGGAGUGCCGCCCUGGUUCAACCACGGGAGGUAGGGGCAAACCCGACAAGUGGCCCCCACCUGUCGGUGAGCCAACCAAGCCGCCCAGUGGCGCAGCCCACCCGGUGCAUUUUCUUUUCAGCGAAGCGUAUUUUUCCAUAGAUGUCUAUGUAUAUGUGUUUUCCUUGCUAGGAAGCGUAUAUCUGGCCGAAACGUUUUGUUUUCUAAAUUCUUUUAAAAACAUAUUUGACCAGUAUAUUUGACUGGCUCUAACUUUUUAAAUAAAACUCCGUAUGGACUGAUUAUUUUUCCUACCUCUCUCAAAUUUAAUAUAGUGUAUUUUAAGAUUUAUUUCAAAAAUAUUCAAACAACUUUUAUGUGUUGUUUUGGAGUUGCAUGUUGAAUGGUAUUAUUUUUGAAAUACGGAUUUGGAGGGAAGCGAACUGCUUCAAGAUUUUUAGGGUGUACACCACCCGCCUCAACUCCAAAGGCAAGCACCUUGAACUCUGAUUUGUGCUAAGAUGUUUGAUGUUUGUUGUGGUGCAUGGGAAUCUAUGAUUUCAUUAUUUUGAUAGGAACUCUCGCAUAAAAUCAUACUUGCAUGAGUGCAUGUGAUGGAUAAUUAUGUUGCCGAACAUAUAGGAUGCAAACGGUGAGUGGGUAUUUCCUCAUGCGUCGUAUGCCAAGUUGGUCUGGACGACCUCGGAGGAAGGUUAGUAAGGGUGUAUAUGAGACCAUGGGGCUGACAUCUCAUGGGACGAGAGUGGUCAUUAAAGGCUUGUCGGGGAGUGAUGGUAGUAUCACUGAGGUAAUUAUUUCAGGAAGAUUGCCUGGUACUAACCCUUGCAGGAAAUCUUAAACCUCCUAAGUCGACCGUAGACCGAGUCUUGUCUGUGUGUGACCUUACCUUUCAUGCUGCCACAGGUCUUCCCGAAGGGGAAUACAGUUUACUAGGUCGUAAACCUAUUACCAGGUACACACCAAGUAGAGGGGCCGAGAUGAAGGUAUCCAUGGCACUGGACUAAAUCUAGUCAUCCGUUCAGGGGGGCAUGGGUGUUUCCGGUUUGGGACUGAGAGGGAAUGGCCAUUCCAUUGUAGCGCGCGGUAUAAAUUUGAUCCCAUGCUAGUUGAGGUUGGAGUCUCCCCAUCUUAUGGUUUUUCACCGUUAGAGUAGCGCGGGUGAGGCCGGUCUUCGUGGGGGAAAAUGGGUGUGUACUGGUUCUCGGCGUUUACUUAUGAGAUACCGUACACGGGAUUAGUACACGUGACUAUUGAAACCCGUGGGUUGUGGGUAAAGAGUACACCCUCUGCAGAGUCAAAGCUAUUCGAGUAGCCGUAUUCACGGUCAAGCACAACUGGUGGACUAGUCAAGUGUCGGUCUGAGUGUUGGUCUUUGGAGGAAUUAGACUUAAACAGGAUAAUUCGUGUGAACCGGGAUGAUAAGUAUUGCUAUUAUUAUGAAUUCUGUUAUGGACUAAUCCUGUGUGAUAUAAGGAUUUAUUAGAGUGUCCUUGGGACGGUUCUACCUCCAGGGUACUAGAUAUAUCUAUUAUUUUAUUAUGGCCUUUUUGUGGUGUCGCUCAAACGCCCGAUUGUGGCGAGUAUUUAUUUUAUUAUGCCCUUUUUGUGGUGUCGCUUAGACGCGUGACUCUGGCAACUAUUACUACUUUCAUAUAAGCUCUUUAUGUGGUGUUGCUGAGACGCCCGACUGUGCCAUGUAUGCUAUUACUUAUUCAUUCUUACCUUCAUAUAAGCCCUUUUUGUGUUGUCGCUCUAGACGCCCAAUUGUGGCACGAAUAGUAAUUUUCCUUUUACAAGCCCCUUUAUGCUUUGUCGCCGAGAUGCCCGAUUGUGGCUUGUAUUGCAUGUCCUUCCGAUGUGUCGCCUCAGAUGCCCAAUCAACAAGCUUAUAAUUUACUGUUACCAAUCCUUGCUUGCUUAUACAACAUUGGUGGAAAUGGUUUAUCUGCAUGAAUGCAUCCAUGAAUUAAUUCUUAUCGCAUGAUAUAUUUAUUAAGGGAAUUAUGCAUGCAUCUCACCUACUUUAACUUAUCUGUUUUCUAGAUGUUUGCGAGUACAUUCAAAGUACGAACUGGCUUGUCCCUGGCUAUUGUCUUCGCCAGAUUUCAUUGGAGAGGAGCACGAUGUCAUCAACCCCGCGAAUCUAUGAGUCGAGGAUAGCAGCCUUGUGAGAUAGGAACUUAUCCAGGUCAACUAUUCCUGUGGAAAUGGAGUUCAUGGGCACUGGAGAUUCCUCGAGUCGCUUCCGCCGUCAGCCUCAAACUUGGUUCAAACCAGUGGACCUUUAUAGUCUUGUCACCCAAACUUUGUAUUUUUUUCUUGGUAUUUAUGUAUCAAGUGAGUGUCCACUAGCUAACAGAUUCCUGGGGCUAGUGAACAUAAGGGCCUGUUUUCUGGAAAUUGUUUUCCGAAAAAGCAGUCGCCACAACCUUGGUAUCACAGCCAAACUGACCAUUGGUUAAACCUAUCUUAGCCCGGUCGCUAUCCCUAGCCAAGAUAUUUAUAUAUUCGCAACCCAGCGUAGCCUGCCCAUUCACCAACUUAAGUGGCCAUCCGACAUGUUUGGAAGUCGGUGCCCAACAUGUCAGCCCGUGUUUAAGUUGUGUGACUGUGGGGACCCCGACUUACUAGUCGAGAAUCGCCGUGCUCAAUGAUCCCAGAGAUCCAUGCUCACCGAACAUAGAUGCCGAAUAAAAGAGUCUUACAUCCAUCCAUAUCGUUUGAUACAACAAAUGACCACUUCAGUCGAGUCUUACAUAAAUAGGGCCUUAAAGGCCUACACUUGAAACCGAACCAAUAGN
rnacentral:lncRNA from 1 species